UCCCAUCACCCACUUCAACUCACCUCUCCCCUCUCAUCAACCCCCCACCCCACCUCCCCACCUCCUCUAUUUCUUCCAUUGGCUGCUCCCCUCAUCUAGCCUCCAAGGAUGCAAAGAAGAGGGGGUUAUGGAGAAGGGAGGAACAGGAUAGUGAAGAGAUAAUAGGAAAAUGGAGCUAUAGGGGAGAUGGGGGAAAUUGAGUAGGAGAGGGAUGAUGUUAAUGGAGAUGGAAAUGGUGGGGACUAUUAAUUGGUGCACCUUGGGAUGCAGAGAUAGAGAAGGGAGAAUAAAAAAGAGGAGCCACUAAAAGUUUAAGGGGGGACGCUCCCAUUUGCAAGAAGCUUAUGCCAAUUCUCUCCCUCCCUCCCCCCCCCUCCUCUAAUUUUUAUCCUAGGGUUUUAAGAAAUGCUAAUUUGUUAUCUAAUCUCUAAUAACUUACUCUCAUGGAUAAUAUGUGACAGGGAGAGUAAUGAAAGUUCGAGUUUCAUAUGAUUUGCCUGUCUUUGCCUCUUUGGUUCAUCAAAUGCACUUAGAUGCACUUAUUGCUCAUGUUGAAGCAUGUCAUGCUACCUUAUUGGAUAUUCUGUAAUAAGGUUAAUAACGUGCAUCCUGAUCUGCAAUCCUUGUCAUGGGGAUCACUUAGAUCAUGCAGAAGAAUCUGUACUUCAAACUUUUGAAAAAAAUCACUAGCCUGUUCUUUUUGGGCUGCAUUUUGUUGAUCCCUAAGGGCUUAAAGACUGACGGAACAGAGGUUGAACCAUUAAAACUAUCCAGUGUUGGCAUCAUGUAAGAUGGAUAGAUGCUUGUUGUGGUCUGUAGCUUUAAUAGGUGCAAGCUUCAUUCUAAUGACUUUCUAUCAGAAGUUUCAACAUUGUCACUUUUCCAGUAACUUAAUGUCCUAUUUUCAGUAGGGCCCCAGAAGCUCAAAAGAACUUUGGCUGUGAGAGAUGUACUCCUUAAUCCUGAAAAGCUCAUUGAAUUUGAUUAUGAUGCCUUUUUUUAUGAAUAAGACUUAUUUAUGUUCAAGAGUGGGAGAUGAUUUGUUAAUGUAAAGUUUAAAUAAUACGGCAUCCAAUUAUUUAACUUAUAGUAUUCAGUUUUAUACAAUCAACCAUGCUCAAAUGUUUCAGUUGCUGUACUUUUUCCAACCUGCCAUCAUGUCUUAAGAAGUCAUGAAGUUUAAUGCCCUUAUCAUGAAGUCAUGAUCUUGAAUGUCCUUGUGAGCUUCUUUGUAUUGCCAGCCAAGUUUUUCUGUGUGAUAUCUCCCAUACAAGUGGGAAGAUAUGGAGAAGCAAAGCAGGUCAGAGUUCGAGUUUGGAAUACCUGACAUUGCUUUUUUAUAUGGAACUCAGUAUUCUUUACUGUUGGAGCAAUGGCAUAUGAUGUUUCGAUCAUCCCUUUCUCGGCUCAGAACCUCCCACCUGUGUGGAUAAUAUCACACAGAUAGGGUCAUAUAUCUUUAAGACUCACAUGACUGUUGAAUUCGAAGAUCAUGUUUUGCAUUAAAGAAUGUCCAUGUCCAUGCAGCCCACCCUACUACAGCUUGUGUGUCCAUAUUGUAUCUGGAAUGCACACUGCUGGUGCGCCCUAAGCUUUUCUUUUUUUUACUCUUAUACAGUAAACAUACUGAUGCAAUCAGGAAUCUCGUCCCCAGGAUGCACGUAGAUACAAUAAUUUGAAUGAAACCAGCAAACUUUUCUCCCAUCCCAUUAUGUGCGUGGAUUGAGGUCUUUUAGUUGGAUCUUUCUGUUGUCAAUGAUUGUUGAGGUUGACUUGAAUGGUUUGUUGUUGUUGUUGUUUUUGAAUUUGUACAAUGCAAAAUAUAUCAGAUUUUAACUUUUUUUUUCCUUCAGUUCAAAUUCUUGACAUGAUUGUCUUGUUGCUAUCAUCUCCUGUGUAUGUGUUUAUCGUGAAAUUGCUUCUUUCUGUCUUCAAUAGUAGAAAAGAUGACAAGAAAUAUAAGCAGAGGAUUUGCUAUGUUGGAAUUGUAUAGAAAUGUUCUGCAUAGAUCUGCUGAAGCCUCCCUUGUAAGUCCUUGGUUUGAUCCUGAUCGGAGAAUUGCUGUAAGUUAAAAACAAUGAAACUUUACCUUCUUUUGUUGUUGUUUUCCAUAAAAUCAUUUUAGUCCUCUGCUCUCUGUGCUGAAGUUUUUGUCCUUUUUAAACAACUUGUUUUAAUAAUUAUUCAUCACUCUUGACAUUUACCCCAUGUUCUGUAGCUCUGCUAGAAACCUUUGUACAUUAAACUUUGUGUGCUUGAAUGGAUUGACUGAAACAGGAUGGGGACAAUAAGCAUUACUCACCAGCACCUCUUUACUUUGACAACUCUUACUUUUUUGCUCCGAACAGGUUGUUACUGGCAAAGGCAGUGUACCUAGGUAAAAAAAGUCGAAAACUACUCAUUUACACAUCAUCUUUGAUGUGAAGUUCCUUUUCUACAUUUUUCUCAAUCUUUUCUGUAUGCCAAGCAAUGAUAUCAAAACUAUCAUCCCUUCAUUGUAUGUUAAUUAUUGUAGAGCUACUUUCCAGUCAAUUUUUUCAUGCGCCAAGUUUUUGGCCCCCCCCAUAUGCAUUCAUCAUUGACAGGUUACAAGGCAAAAUAAAUGGUUUGUUUAUCAUAGCUUAUUGGUUUUAAUCUCUCAAUGUUUUUUAUUAUAACAAUUGUCUCACUAUAAGUUUUUCUUUUUCUUUCCAUAACUUCUCAACAUCUCUUUUUUUCCUUCCCUAUUCACCUGCCCAUUCCUUGUGAUGUUGCCAUAAAAGCAUUGCUUGGCUCUGGAGGCUUGUCCUGGUGCUUGUAAUUUUAGCAUUUUUUUUCUUUACAUGGGGUUUAUGAUAGAGAUUUUAGGUCAAUUUGCAUUUGACAAAUUCCUUGCAAUGCAUUGUCACAAGAGCUUGACUUGUUUUGGUGAUAGAAUGAUUUCUCUUGUGACAAUGAUGCCACCUUAUGGAAUUUCUUUUUGGUGAUAUGGCCAAUGGUCAUAUGGACCAUGACCAGGCAACAAAUGUUCGUUUGUUUUUGUGGUGACACGAGUUCAAAUUGACUUGCCAUCUCUCUAGAAUUGUUCUAUUCCUACUCUGCUGAUCAAUAUUUUCAUAGCUUCAACUGUACGCAAAUGGGAAACAAAGGUUAUGUUGUACAGCAGAGGCGUGACUAGCUUUGUAUGACCAUGUUCUUGCUUUUUGGUAAUGCAAGCCUGUUCUGUAUUGCUUGUAGCCUUUCUAUCUGUGAUAUAUAUAUAUAUAUAUAUAUAUAUAUAUAUAUAUAUAUAUAUAUAUAUAUAUAUAUAUAUAUAUNNNNNNNNNNNNNNNNNNNNNNNNNNNNNNNNNNNNNNNNNNNNNNNNNNNNNNNNNNNNNNNNNNNNNNNNNNNNNNNNNNNNNNNNNNNNNNNNNNNNNNNNNNNNNNNNNNNNNNNNNNNNNNNNNNNNNNNNNNNNNNNNNNNNNNNNNNNNNNNNNNNNNNNNNNNNNNNNNNNNNNNNNNNNNNNNNNNNNNNNNNNNNNNNNNNNNNNNNNNNNNNNNNNNNNNNNNNNNNNNNNNNNNNNNNNNNNNNNNNNNNNNNNNNNNNNNNNNNNNNNNNNNNNNNNNNNNNNNNNNNNNNNNNNNNNNNNNNNNNNNNNNNNNNNNNNNNNNNNNNNNNNNNNNNNNNNNNNNNNNNNNNNNNNNNNNNNNNNNNNNNNNNNNNNNNNNNNNNNNNAUAUAUAUAUAUAUAUAUAUAUAUAUAUAUAUAUAUGUAUGGAAAUCCACCGGUCUUUAUAAAUAUUAUUAAAUGUUUACUAGUGUUGCUGGAAGAGUUCCAAGAAAUCAAGCCAUCCUUAACAUUUUUGCAAUGAUGCAUUUUUCAAAUGUAAACUUUGUCCGGUUCAUCAUCUUUUGUUACUCAAGUCUAUACUUAGGUUUGCACAAGAAUGUGGGCUUCCAUCUCUCAUAUUUCUCGUGUCAAUAUUAUUUCCUCUUUUCACUUGCAGAAGGAAAAUACUUCGAGGUGGCCAUUUCACAUACAUGAAGAAUUCAUUUGGCCUACGGCUGCUUAUUUGGCAACUCCAUGGUCAACAAACCCUCCAGCCUCUGUUUUUGGCAACAAAUCUGUGAGCUGUAUCACUCCCCUCUUGGAACUUGGCAAGAGAAUUGUAUGUAUGCACAUAAUUAGAGCCCCAUAGCGGUUACUUAUUAUAGAAUUAGAAGAUGAUGUCGUGAGUCGAAUGUUCGAUCAGUUUUAAGUGGGACAUGCCCUUUUUUCCUGUUUUGUGCUGCUGGAUUGGUUUGGUUGGCUUGUCAAUCUUGCUGUCCAUGUCUCCCGAAUUCUAUCAUGUGGUUGUUAGAUCAAUUUUAACUGUUAAUAUAGCUGUCAUAUUACUAAGGACGUUAUACUGAAUCUGCCCAUGAAUAUGGCUGUCCUAUUUUAAAUUCUGUCGGAGUUGAGCAUCAGUGUGCGGUGGCCUUAACUUCUUGAUGGUUGGGUGAGUUGGUAUUUCUUUUCCAUCGGGUACUGAAUUAAUGCUGCAGUAAUUUCAUGCGCUGUCGGUUUUCCAAUAUUUUAUUAAUUCAUCCUGCACCAUGCUUGGCACAGAAAAGAGGCUUUGCUUCACAGAUUCCAGAAAAAGACUGGUUGGCCGUGAAACAGGCAUCGCAUGUUGCACCAGUUGCUGAUGUUUGGGAACGGAUCUGCUUCCAGAUGUUGUGAGUAAUGAUCAGCCAGUUUGAGGGUGCGUGGACUGAUAUCAGCUAUUUUUUUCAAUAAUUAUUGAAAAAAUUGAGGUUGUACUAGCCAGUUAUUCCAACGCAGUUUGACUAGAAAUACCUGGGUAACCACUUUCUCCUUGCAAUUUCCACUCGUGUCAUAUUCACGUUGGAUCUCUCUUUUAUUAUCAUUUUUUUUUUCAAUUUUUUGAGAACCAGCGUGAGAAAACAAUAGGUCAUUUAUCACGUGCCACCUCUCUCUCUAGCUUUGUUUCCUCAACCAUUCCAAUUGCUACGCCACCUAUAAUUUAUUUCUGAUACCAGGACUUCCCAAAACCUUCACAACCCAUUGAUGCUGGUCACGUAUGCAUUCGCGUUCACAAUCUCGUCCAACUGAAAAAUAUGACAGAAAUUAUGCAACAAAUCAACACAAAUGAGCAUUAAUAAUCUCCUAUCCAAUAAUUUUUCUUCUUUUUUUUAAGAGUAUAAAAGUUGAUUGAAAAUCUAAUUUAUUCACCUUUCACCACAAAAUCCGACGUAGUGGAUGGUGGAACGCUGGAUGCUGUCGGGUAAAGUGACGCCAGCAUCUGCCGUUCCAGUAGAUUACAGAUUCGUAUCCAAGACUUUUCGGCACGCUCUUAUGCAAAAGUCCAAUCCCACACCAGGUCGGCAAUCGUACCACCUUGGCCGAAAAAUAUCUCUCCAUCUGCAAGGUAGAUUCAGCUCUCUUCCCAUAUCUCCAUCCCACCAAACAGAGGCAGGCUCCAAAUUUUUCAGCUGCAUCGAGUCGCACGAAACUUCCACCUAUUUUUUUUGACAGGUGAUGCUGGGCUGGGGGGCCCACAACGGGCCAUGUUCCCUUCUCUCAUCAAUCCCAUCAUCUAUCCUAUACUUCUAAAGUUUCCUGGUACUGGGAACUGUCGUCCAGCUGCUGCUUCGGUGGAACACCAAGUGGAGAUCGCGCUGCAAGAUAUUCACGGCAUAUGUUUGGUUCGCGAACGAAUUUGAAUCGAGAUGGUCAUGAUCAGAAUCAAUGUUGAAAUCAGAAUAAAAUUUUGAUAGAAUGAUUUUUAUAAAAUUAAAAUAUUUUUAUUUUUUUAAAUAAUAAAAAUUUCAAUCAAAUAAUUGAGAUAGAAGUUACUUAUCCUCGUUCCCAUUUCAAAUUCCGACGUCACCAACUAAACAUACCUCCCAUCUACUGACAUGAUGCCUAAACGGAUGGUUCUUGUUUAUUUGGGUGGCUCGAGGCGGUCCCAGAUGGUUGGUCACAAUGCCCUGCCACCACUGGAAUUGAUCGAUUUUUGAUCCCAUGGGCAGCUGACAUGUUUUGCUAACAUCCAAUGGUAUGGAACAUGUCAAACCAAUAGACUCAGUGGCUCAGGACUUGCAAUGGAAGGAUCUUUGAACUUUUAUUUCUUUUGUUUUUUAAAUGUCCCAUCCACCUUGCACGCUUGCACGGUUUUUUAUUUUUCUCUGUUUUACGCCACGAGAACUAACUUUUUAUCCAAAUCAUACGGGUCAGACUUUAUAAAUCCUAUUUCUCUCUUCAAAAAAAAAAAAAAAGACUUUAUAAAUCCUAUUUCACAACUUAUCUUCCGUUUGCAGCUUUAUCUUCUAUCAAUUUUUCUAGAUAAUUUCACACAAUUUUCAUUUUUAUUUAUGCACCCAGACAUUGGUUUCCCCUGAUCUAGUCCUUACGCCAUUUUUAGUCUCCCUGCAGGUACCAUCGUUCUUAUCCUUUUUAAUAAUAAGUUUCCAUGCAAUCUUAUCAAAUCUUGACUCCAAGACAUACUUAAUGGUUAGAUAAGACAUUAACGUGUUCUCCUUAACUGCCACACCAUCUAAUUCCACAAUCCUACUCGAUUACCUGUCCUAUCGUUAUCCUUUUCCACGGUAAUAGCAACCUCAACAUCUUUUAAAACAGGUUACGCCAGCAUAUAUAAGUCCGUCUUGUACGUUUGCACCGGACUUUGAACUUGUACGUCCACACCAGACUUUGAUCUUUCUUGCAACAGGUUAAGGUUCGGUGAAGGUUGGGAUCAAAGCUUCCUUCAUUAAGAGAAAGCCUUGGAAGCCUAGAAGGGGCUGAACAUUCCCUUCUCCACCACUGGAUUUGAUCAUACCUUCGUAGGAGGGUGGCCACAAGGAUCCCAAUGGAUCAUACGGUUGAUACACCGGUCAUUAUACAAUACCACAAGAAGUAUCUUUAUGCAUAACGGUGGAAAGCAUCCUCGGCUUAGAAAGUAAGUAUAAGAAGUUCCGCAAGCAGAGACGUACCAUGGAUGAAAAUAUCCCAGUUAACUACGAUUCCUUCACACCGAUCCGUGUCGAUGUGGACGCCACCUGCAACGUAGUGCAUGCGUCUGGACAAAACAGCACCCACCUCAUCGCACCCAUUAAUUCCUAUGCCCAUCCAUCCAUCAAUCCUUUCCAGCUCCAUCGCAGUAUCUUCUUCUCUUUUGAAUGAUUAAAUAAUUGCAAACCAUAUCCCUCAAGCAAAAGAUUCUAAAUAUCUUUUUUCCCUGCUUCAAUGGAAGUGGGAGGUAGUUCAAUUUCAUGCAUCGAUAUUAAGCUACCGAUUCAUCAGAUAUAUCAAAAUUCUCAUGCAAUGAAUGGCUUAAAUUUUUAUAAGAUACGUCAUAAGUUGAGGGACAAAUGGUAAUAAUGAUGGGGCUCUGAUCUCUUAUUUAGUCCCAAUCCAACCAUCCUCCAAGCCAUUUGGUUUUCUAAUCCAUUGACCGAAUGCAUCUUCACCCACGCUCCCCCUCCCUUCCUCAACUUUAAUUUACAGUACAUGCUACAAAUAUUUUUAUAAGACCCUGCUUAGAAUAUCUGUCUGCCAAUGCCUAUGAAGUCCUCCCGCAUCCAAGUCCCCAGCCACAUAAUAUAAUAACACUGGGCCUUUGGUCAAAGCAUUAAUUGUGAAUUGUUUUGCUCCUCGAGGUAAGCUCUCAGAUCUCUCAGAACUUAGAACCGCCCCUACCGAAAAAAAAAAGAUUAGUGGAAAUGGUUGGUCUUUUGAUAAGGUACUGAUGAAGCUCUCUCCGUGUGAGGUUCUUCCUUCUUCACCCGAAGAAUUCCGGUCCGCAAUGUUUAAUUGCAGAAGUUUCAUAACAGGUUUCGGUGGGGACAGCGAGUACUACGACUGUACAAGUCGCAAGCCUUCGAUUCCAAGUCUAACUUAGACCUGUUGAUUCCAAGUCUAACUUAGCACUAACUUAGACCUGUUGUUUCUAUGAAGCAACACCUGCACAUGGCGUCUGGCAUUGGUUUAGCAUGAGAUGAGUGAUGAUGUUCGGGUAGACACGGAUGUUGUGCCAGAUGCAUGCCGAGUGUAGGCUCAUGAAGUUUUUUAAUAAUAAUGGUGUCUAAUAUGCCGCGGGGCAUUAUCGAUUGAAACAAAGUUUGUUUUUUUUUUUAUCUAGAUAACCUUUAUAAUUGGAUAAAAAAGGUGCUUUAUUUAUUAGAUUCAAGCUAUCAUCAGAGAACUUGGUCAUCAGCUCUUACUCUCUCAUGAAAUUUCUUUAAAAACCUUCGUCAAGUAUUAAUAAUUAGUAAUAUUCUCAUUAUUUUCCUUCCCUUUUGUUACAUAUAUAUCAUGCCGAUUCAAUUAAAAGAACAAUUGGAAUAUCGUAUAAAAAUUGAUAUAGACAAUCUAUUUCUUUAACAUCAAAAAGGAUCCCAAUAACAGUAGGAAAAGGAGAGAGAAAGAGAGAUCUCGUCCUAUGAGCCUCAUGUAAUGACAAGCUGACGGUGACUCACUUUACAUUGUAAAUGCGUUUGCUUCUCAUGUUAUGUGAAUUUUAUACAUUUUGGGUGUUACCAAGCAUUGACAAGUCUAAGGGGGUAAACCUGCAUUUAAAUCUCUCCCACAUCAGUCUAAAAUAAACAAUAUCAUCUUAUUUGAUUGGGCAGGAGUUUUUUCAAAAUGCUAUAUAUCUGCUGAACAUCUGUCACGUGCCUAAAAGUAAAGAGAUUUCCCAUAUCUAGGACAUCAGACUAUCUAUGUUCGUUGUGCUUAGCUCAUGAAUCCAUAUUGGAUUGUUGUCAUUAAUGUUAUUGCAUCAAUAUAUAGUUUUUUUUGAGAAAAAGUUAUUACAAUACUGAAAAAAAUAGAAAAGACUUUUACUUUUCAACAAAUCUACCUUCUCGUAUGAUUUCAUUAAAAAUUCUUGUGGUGUACGAAGGCAUUGCUGCUUUCCAUCACAUCUAUAAUUUAUCAGGAGGGCCAUCCGAUAUCCAAAUGAUGAAUCAGAACAAUAUGCUAUUAUUUUUAUUUUUAUUAUAAAUAUGGUAUGAUGAAAAUUUUAUAACUUCACAUGCAUAUAUAUACUUUCAUGAAACCUGCUGAUCCCUUGUGAUCCAUAGAAGUUUUUAAAAUUUUUGGAUAUGAUGGUAUCCUCUCGUCAUUUUCCAACAUCUUUUUGAAACAUCUAUAAUCCGUCAAAACCAAAAAAUGAAGCAAAAUGUAUCUUUCAUUAUUUUUAUUUUGUUGUGAUCUUAAUGCAAACAAGCAGUUAGUUAGUGGUGAUAUUAGAUAUGUUUUUACAAUGCACUAUCAUAUUCAAUUUUUAUUUUAAUAAUAUAUACACACACGCACAUCUACCAUGGUCCAUACACAUGCGCACACACACUCUCUCUCUCCAUAUUUAUAUCCACCAAUCCCGGCAUAUUGUGUUGAGGCCAUAUAUUUAGCCGUAUACAACAUGAUAGACACCUAUCACGUUUGUAUUUUUUUUUUUUUACUGUUUUGGACUAUACAUCCAUGCCAUUGAUACUGAUGAUCUCCAUCAAGCAACCUAAAGCAUUCAUAUCAUCACCCCUGUGUCACUCCAUCUAGUAGCAGGAAGCGUCACCUUGUGAUGACAUGGAGCCCAUCUCCGAACCAUACGGUGCCGCCACCGAGCACAACGAAUCCUCAUCCACUCGUCCCCAUUCAAACGUCGAAACAGCUCAUGGAACGUGCCAAGGCGCAAGGGUUACCAGCUAGCUCAUGCUGCAGCAACCUUCCAAAAAUAUCAACCUGGUCCAACGGGCGCCACCAUCUCACUGAUACACGAGCAGGAUCAGGUGUAUAAGAGAGAGAGAAAGAUGUAGGGAUAGAGAUGGGAUAAAGGAUACGGAGGAGAGUGGAUUAUGGGGGCCGGAGCGGCAUCGUAUUCUAUGGGUCUGGGUGAUAAGUGGUGACCGGGGAGGGAGUAGUGGUUUUGAGGGCCGCGUCACUGUCGCAAACGGAGACACGUUUGCGGACCCAGAGGGAACGUGUCAAAGCCCGCCAUCCGGACCCCUCUUCUCCUUAUAUUUCCCCUCUCCUCUCUUAUUUCUCAUCUCGUUCCAUCUCUCCCUUGUCUCACUUUCUCGUUCUCAAAAGAAGGAAAAAAGAUUUAAGCACAGGCGGAGGUAGGAGACAAAGAAAGGGAGGGAGAGCAGAGGGCAUCGCCAUGCCCCCGCGUUAGGUUGGGACCCACGAGCGCCGCCGCCAGCUUUAUCUUGUCCCCCGCCCCGCCGCCCGCCAGCCGUCCGAUUGAUGACUAGGGAGCUGAGGAGGAGGACGGGAAGAACGAGGCGCAAAGGAGGAGGAGGAGGAGGAUGUCUCUGGUGUUCGCCGGCGUCGAGGUGGUCGGAGGACCCACGGUGGGCCUGAAGGACCACGUCACCAUCCCGGUCUACCUGCAGCAGCACGGAGAUAACAACAACGACCACAAAGGGGAGGAGGAGAAGGGGAAGAGGAAGGAAAGGAAUGGGUUCUUUAUAGAGGAAAAGGUGGUGGAGGAGGAGUCUUCGGAGACCUCUUCCAUCGGAGUCCAGUCGUCUGAUUCGUCGUCGGAAAAGGAGGAGGAGGAUGAGGUCCAGAGCAAGGCAAAGAAUGGGGCUUUCGGCUCUUUGGUUUCCUUAGAGGAAUCCCUUCCCAUCAAGUCAGUUUCUUUCUUUCCUUUCUUUUUUUUCCUCCCUUUUUUUAUCUAUACAAAGAAAAAAAAAAAAACUUGUUCUUGAGUUCGAUCUAUCAGCUAGCACUCUUGGUAGUCCUUAGAUCUUGUCCAUCUCUUGAUGUGUGUGUGAUUUUUUUUUUUAAAAAAAAUUUCGAUGUGGAUCGAUUCUCAUCUAAAUGUUUCUUGAUCGAUCGACAAACAAAAAUAUUUGAUGAGAGCAAAAAAAAAAAAAAAGAAUAAUUGGAAGUAAAUUUUGAUUAUUAAAAUCAUGAUUUUGAUGAAGGGUGGGUUUUAAUGAGAAAUAUAAAUUCGGUUAUUUUGUUGGUUUUAUUUUUUGCAGGCGAGGGCUGUCGAAUUUCUUUUCCGGGAAGUCGAAAUCUUUUGCGAGCCUGGCAGAUGUGGCAACUUCGACCGCGAGAGAUCUCGUGAAGCCAGAGAACCCCUUCAACAAAAGGAGAAGGCUGCUGAUGGCUUCCAGAACAAGGAGAGCUUCCUAUGCUUCAUUUAUGACAUGCUUGCCGCCUCUCUCCUCGGACCACAUCGCAGAGGAGAUAGAGAAAGAGGAGGAAGAGGAUG
rnacentral:lncRNA from 1 species